rnacentral:rRNA from 1 species
UCGAGAAUUUUCCUCAAUGGACGAAAGUCUGAAGGAGCGACGCCGCGUGCAGGAAGAAGCUCUUCGGGGCGUAAACUGCUUUUAUAAGGGAGCAAAUUUUGAGAGUACCUUAUGAAUAAGGACCUGCUAAACUCGUGCCAGCAGCAGCGGUAAUACGAGUGGUCCGAGCGUUAUCCGGUUUUAUUGGGCGUAAAGGGUCCGCAGGUGGUCAGAUAAGUCUGAUGUUAAAUUAUGGUGCUCAACAUCAUAACUGCAUUGGAUACUGUUUGACUUGAGGCUGGGAGAGGUCUAUAGAAUUGUCGGUGUAGUAGUAAAAUGCGUUAAUAUCGACAAGAAUACCAAAGGCGAAGGCAUUAGACUGGAACAGUCCUGACACUCAGGGACGAAAGCGUGGGGAGCGAAUGGG